GGUGGCUCAGUGGUAGAGCGCUUGCCUUGUAUUCAUGAGACCCUGGGUUCAAUUCCUCAGCACCA
rfam:Dipodomys ordii contig_34123, whole genome shotgun sequence.